GUACUUACUGGAUUGGACAUACUCGGCCUAUUUCAUUUGGGUUACGUUAGGUCUCUAAAUUUUCAUCUCUAAUUCGAAGGUGAUCUUAUAUUUCUUGUCUGAAUUCUCUGGCUGGUUGAAAUUCAACUUAAUUUAACAAGUACUGAUUAUAUAUGCCUGUUUCCUUUUAGAGCUUCAACACUUGAGGAACAGUCUGCCUGAUGCAGUUGUCGUUCAGCGCAUUGAUGAGAGACUAUCUGCCCUUGGAAAUUGCAUAGCAUGCAAUGACCAUGUUGCCCUUACCCAUACUGAUCUUGAUAGGGAAACUGAGGAAAUGAUAGCCGACGUUCUAGGUGUUGAAGUUUUCAGGCAGACAAUUGCUGGUAAUAUUCUCGUGGGCAGCUACUGUGCAUUUUCAAAUAGAGGUGGUCUGGUUCACCCUCAUACCUCUAUUGAAGACUUGGAUGAAU